rnacentral:rRNA from 1 species
AUUGAACGCUGGCGGCAGGCCUAACACAUGCGAGUCGAGCGGAUGAAGGGAGCUUGCUCCUGGAUUCAGCGGCGGACGGGUGAGUAAUGCCUAGGAAUCUGCCUGGUAGUGGGGGAUAACGUCCGGAAACGGGCGCUAAUACCGCAUACGUCCUGAGGGAGAAAGUGGGGGAUCUUCGGACCUCACGCUAUCAGAUGAGCCUAGGUCGGAUUAGCUAGUUGGUGGGGUAAAGGCCUACCAAGGCGACGAUCCGUAACUGGUCUGAGAGGAUGAUCAGUCACACUGGAACUGAGACACGGUCCAGACUCCUACGGGAGGCAGCAGUGGGGAAUAUUGGACAAUGGGCGAAAGCCUGAUCCAGCCAUGCCGCGUGUGUGAAGAAGGACUUCGGAUUGCAAAGCACUUUAAGUUGGGAGGAAGGGCAGUAAGUUAAUACCUUGCUGUUUUGACGUUACCAACAGAAUAAGCACCGGCUAACUUCGUG